rnacentral:tRNA from 1 species
CGCAAUAGCUCAGUUGGUAGAGCAACUGAUUCGUAAUCAGUAGGUCGGAGGUUCGACUCCUCUUUGCGG